UCCUUGAUGGCUCAGUCGGAUAGAGUAUCUGCCAUAUAAGCAGGAGGGCCCGGGUUCGAGUCCCGAUCGGGGCA